rnacentral:tRNA from 3 species
GGGGUGUUAGUUAAGUCGGUUAUAACGCCGGCCUGUCACGCCGGAGGCCAGGGGUUCGAGUCCCCUACACCCCGCCA